rnacentral:rRNA from 1 species
AUACGGAGGGUACAAGCGUUACUCGGAAUCACUGGGCGUAAAGCGCGCGCAGGCGGGCUGAUAAGUUGGAUGUGAAAGCCUACGGCUCAACCGUAGAACUGCAUCCAAAACUGUCAGUCUAGAGUGUGGGAGAGGAAGAUGGAAUUAGUUGUGUAGGGGUAAAAUCCGUAGAGAUAACUAGGAAUACCAAAAGCGAAGGCAAUCUUCUGGAACACUACUGACGCUGAGGCGCGAAGGCGUGGGGAGCAAACAGGAUUAGAAACCCUAGUAGUCC